UUGAACGCUGGCGGCAGGCCUAACACAUGCAAGUCGAACGGUAACAGGAAGAAGCUUGCUUCUUUGCUGACGCGUGGCGGCCGGGUGAGUAAUGUCUGGGAAACUGCCUGAUGGAGGGGGAUAACUACUGGAAACGGUAGCUAAUACCGCAUAACGUCGCAAGACCCAAAAGGUGGACCUUCGGGCCUCUUGCCAUCGGAUGUGCCCAGAUGGGAUUAGCUAGUAGGUGGGGUAACGGCUCACCUAGGCGACGAUCCCUAGCUGGUCUGAGAGGAUGACCAGCCACAAUGGAACUGAGACAAGGUCCAGACUCCUACGGGAGGCAGCAGUGGGGAAUAUUGCACAAUGGGCGCAAGCCUGAUGCAGCCAUGCCGCGUGUAUGAAGAAGGCCUUCGGGUUGUAAAGUACUUUCAGCGGGGAGGAAGGGAGUAAAGUUAAUACCUUUGCUCAUUGACGUUACCCGCAGAAGAAGCACCGGCUAACUCCGUG
rnacentral:rRNA from 1 species